CUGCUGCAGAGGCCACAAUGAGAAGGAGGAUGCUUGCCACUCGUAGGUCCAUCUUGCAAGCUCAAACCUGCGGGGAAAAAGAAAAAGAUUGUCAGUGCAACUGUCUCACAGGAAUUGAUGUUUCUGGUUUCUCCGCCAUACUGACCGAGGCUCAACCCACACCCAAAGAGAAGAGCAUAAUUGGCGGUUGAUGUAAAGAGACCCAGCAAAGCACAAAAUUUCAGUAAGGGGACCACGGUGUGUGCUCCAACUACAGAGGGAUCAGCUAUGAACCUCACCGCACAUCACUGGGUUUCUGGGCCCGUCCCAUCAGAAGGAGACCCAGAAGAAGAACCAGGACACAUUGGAGGGGCUCUGCUUCCCGACUGGCCUUGGAACGCCUUAGGAUUCCCCUGCAAGUGCUGGCCUAGAGAGGGAAGUCUGGGAUUCUCUGCUUAUGCUGCUGCUCCUAAGGGGAAGAUAAUAAAUAAAUGCAUGACUGGCUCAUUGGAUGAAUGGAUAAUUGUGCCUGUCUGACAAUCAACAUCCUAAUAAAAUAGGUCAGCAUUAAAUUACAGUUAAAUUGAGUUUAAAACUCAGCAGGAUACUAAAUACUUUCUGACAUCAUUUUUAGUAAGAAGACUUUUCAAUUUGGACAUUUUGUAGAAAAUUGUGGAAGUUUUAGUGACAUAGAAUAACAUUUAAAAAUGAAUGGGUGGCUAACAGGCUUCUGCAGCUGCUGAAGGCAUGCAAAGGAGGUAAUGCAAUCAUUUGAAUCAGCUGUGACAUUCAGCAUUGAAUGCUCAAGGUUUAACUCAAGGUUGGACAUUGGACCCUGAGGACCAGGGUUGGGGUUCCCUGCCUUAGAGUAUAGCAAAUUUGUCCUUGGCAGCUGAGAGCUGUCAUAAAAAUAGAAGUUGCACAAAUAAAUACCUAAAGUUUCAUGUUUUUUUCCCCAUGUGCGUAUUGAGAGAGCAUUUUGCACCCUUUGAAAAUUGCCUUCUAGCUGCUUAAAUCCUCUUAAGUAUACACAUGUGUUGGAGUGUCAGACCACAAAGUGCAGGGCAAGCUGCUUUAUGUUGUGAAGCUUCAUGUUGGGUAAAAACUUUUCCAAUUCUUCUGUGUUCCCUCAGUAAUUAAAGUUUACAAAUCCUUAAAA